UUGCAGAGCUUUAAGGAGUUCAAGUGGGGAAAGGAAGAGGGAGGGUGCGUGGGGAAAGAGCCGAAGGAGCAGCUGGAGAAUACAUCGGAUGGUGCAUAGCGGAAACAGAAACAGCAAUUUUUUGGUGUUAUCUGAAGGGAAAGGACUUAGUGGUGAAAUGAACAGGCUGUUUCUACCUGAGGGGGAUAAGGCGGAGGGGUGGUGGCAUAUGAUGGAAGCACUUCAUGAGGUGGUUGGAGUGAUGCUGGUUCCGCCUGAUGGGGUCACGAAGGAAAAAACACGUUCCUACGAUUGAAGCUAUAGCAAAAACAGAGCUACCGUUUGAUGUGGUCUGAUGUCCGGAAUGUAAGAACGAAUUUGAGCUGAGGAUGGAGAAG
rnacentral:lncRNA from 1 species